UGUUUGGUAGACCACCUUCAAUUGCCAUACCACCCAUACACACGCCUAUGUGGCAAUUUUUAUUACAUUUUAUUUAUUCAACUAAAAAUAAAAAUAAAACAAAAAACAAAAUCAGAAAAAAUAAAAAUUCAGCCCAACUUUAUCUCUCCACUCUCUCUUCCGUCUCUUUCCUUCACCAUCUCUUCUCCCUCUUCUUUAACCACCGUCGGCCUCCACACAAAGAUCUAAGAGUGAUGCAGAAUUGGUUUUACAGCAAGAGGUUUGAUAGGAUUAAAAAAAAAAGUUUGUGAAAUUACUCCUCUCUGCAAAGUACGAAUCAGAUCUGUAGAUGUGCGUUUUUUCAUAUAGCUGGAAUUGGCUGGCAUGAGGUCGCCGGCGACUGUGAGAAAUGAUCCCGCCGGAGUUAGGGGCGCAGGCUGUGUUUCCGGAUCUGUUUUUCAGAAGAUGGGAUGGAGGCGAAAAGACAAGGCAGCAGCGACGAUGGUGGUGGUGAGGGGGGAGAUAGAGAGAAUGAAAGAGAAGGCGGUGGAGUCAAGAGGAUGGAGUGGUGGACGGCGACAGUGGAGGAGAGAUGGACGGUGCGGUGGAGGAGAGAACGUGUGUUGCAGACACUGAGAUUUUUUUUGUCAAGGUUUAUAUGAGUUUUGACUAAACUACCCUUCAUUAAAAGAUGAAAUACCAAAACUAUCCUCCAUAUGGAGGUGUACAAGAGUGUGUUGCCAGCUAAGUGUGUUCACCUAUCAGGACUCAUGAUAUAAAGCAAAGUUUUGAAAAUAAAUAUAUGAUAAUAUAAUAUUGACAUUUUUUUAAUAAAUAUACUUUGAUAUUGACAAAUAAAACUGAGAAUAUAAUUGAUCUCAAACCCAACCCCUCCCGCAUAUGUGCCUGCCUACAAAAGCGAGUUCAUGGUUCUCAUUUGACUCCAACAACAUUCUCUGACCAUAAUUUCCUUCACAUGCACACAACAUUCUCUCUUUGGUUUUGGUUUUAAUCUUCAUUGUUACUUAGACGGAAAUGAAAAGGAUGAUGAUGUUGUUGCUGCUGCUGCUUCUACUUGUUGAUGUUGCUUCCUUGUGCGGCCAAACCGGUUGCGGUAGCGAUUGUGGAGGAGGGUGUGAUGGUUCACCACCACCACCAAAAUGCGAGGAUGACAAGAACCUUGGACUUACUACUGGUCAUGAUUCAGUGCUCUAUCUAAUAGAAAAGAUUAAAUAUGGUUUUUAUGUAGUUUUUGUCAUCAUUAUUAUCAAAACCAUUGUGGGGAUAAUUCAAACAUUUUAUAAUGUUCAUAGAAUGUAUCAAUUUUACUUUGGAGAGGGCCGUGAGCAGCGCUUGAGGAUGAAGGAGAAAAGGGAUGAAAGAAAAAUUAGAGAGACAAUUGAAAAGGCAAAUGAAGAAGCGGAGAAGAUGAUGAAAGUCGUAGAUGAGGAAAUGAUGAAGAAAAUGGAAGAAGGAACAGCAACGAGUGAUGAAUGAUUGUGAUGCUUGAAUGAAUGAAACAGAGUGAACAGAGAUCCUUCUGAGCUAAACUGCUUGACAAGCACAAGAAGCUGCAGCUACAAACUCUGCUUCAGUAGUGGACAACGUAACAAUUGGUUGUUUCUUUGAGGACCAUGACACUGACCCUGAACUCAAUUUGAAGACAUAUCCUGUCAUCAAUGUCUCCAGCAUAAUCUGAAUAUGUCCAUCCUUGCAGUUUAACACUUACUUUUCUUUCAUACAUGAUUCCCAACAAGGUUGUUCCUCUGAGGUACCCGUACCUGAUUACUCUCUUAGCAGCUGCUAGGUGAAUUUCAGUUGGUCUUUCCAUAUAUCUAGCAAUAAGACAAACUGAGAAGGUAAGAUCAGGUCUAGUGGCCAGCAAAUACAUCAAGCAUCCAAUCAUCUGCCUGUACUGAGUAGAGUCCACAACUUUUCCCUUUUCAUCUCUUGACAGCUUGUUUCAAGGGACUAUGGGGUUCAAUACUUUGUUGCAAUUUUCCAUACCAAAUCUAGAUAGAAUUUCAUUUGCGUAUUUCUGCUGAUGAAUGAAUAUUCCUCUAUCCAUCUGCUUGACUUCCACACCAAGAAAAUACCUCAUCUUGCCCAGAUCUGUCAUGGAAAAUUUAUUUUCCAUAGAAUGUUUGAACUCUUCAAACACUUCUUCAUCAUUUCAAGUGUAGAUUAAGUCAUCUACAUACAAACUUACGGUAAGUAUUUUUCCUCCAGUUUCUUGCCUAACAAACAAAGUAUAGUUCUAUUAGUGUCCCAUCUGGUUACAGGAGCAAAAACUUCAUUGUAAUCAACUCCAUACUUUUGAGAGUACCCCUUUGCUACUAAUCUGGCUUUGUGUUUUUCAACUUUACCAUUUUCAUUGUAUUUUGUCUUAUAAAUCCAUUUUACACUAAUCUUCCUGCUUCCAGUUGGUAUCAUUUCUUUCUAUGGCUUCAAUUUCCUGAUCCAUAGCCUCUUUCCAACAAUUGAACUUUGCAGCUUCCUCAUAAGUAGCAGGAUCUUCUCUAUUACUGAAAAAGCCAGAGUCUGAAAACUGCUUUCUUCUUCUUCUGCUUCUCUUCCUAAGAUAUAGUCUCUGCUCCAUACAGGAGGUUUUCUGAUUCUACCAGUUUCAUCUUCUUCUUCAUUGCAUAACUUGUUAGUUGUUACAAAUAAAAAAAUAAAUAAACAUCACAACAUCAAAGCUGCAUCGAACUGUACGUUCAUAUUCCCAUGCAUAAUAUUAGAGAACUAGUAGAAGAUAUAGUAGAAUCAACCGUAAAUUUAAACCACAGAG